rnacentral:ncRNA from 2 species
CCAAUAGCGUAUAUUAAAGUUGCUGCGGUUAAAAAGCUCGUAGUUGAAUUUCGGAAUUGAUGCAUCGGUCGUGCCUUAAGGGGCAUGAACUGGUGUAGCCAAUUUCUCACCUUCUGGUGAAUUGUUGAUGUUCUUAAUGGGUGUCUCAAUGAACUAGAAUUUUUUACUUUGAAAAAAUUAGAGUGUUUAAAGCAGGCAUUGAUUUGCUUGAAUACAUUAGCAUGGAAUAAUGAAAUAGGACAGUGGUUCCGUUUUGUUGGUUUCUAGGAUCACGUAAUGAUUAAUAGGGACAGUUGGGGGCAUUAGUAUUCAAUUGUCAGAGGUGAAAUUCUUGGAUUUAUUGAAGACUAACUAUUGCGAAAGCAUUUGCCAAGGAUGUUUUCAUUAAUCAAGAACGAAAGUUAGGGGAUCAAAGACGAUUAAGUACGUCGUAGUCCUAACCAUAAACUAUACCAACUAGGAAUCAGACGAUGUUAAUUUUUUAAUGACUCGUUUGGUACCUUACG